rnacentral:tRNA from 1 species
UGUUUUAUAGUGUAAAUAUUAACAUAUUGUAUUUUCGUUACAAAGCUGAAGAAAUUUUUCUAAAACAU